GCAUGCCUGUUCGAGCGUCAUUUCAACCCUCAAGCCUCGCUUGGUGUUGGGGCACUACGGUUGACGUAGGCCCUUAAAAGUAGUGGCGGACCCUCCCGGAGCCUCCUUUGCGUAGUAACUAACGUCUCGCAUCGGGAUCCGGAGGGACUCUUGCCGUAAAACCCCCCAACUUUUAACUGGUUGACCUCGGAUCAGGUAGGAAUACCCGCUGAACUUAAGCAUAUCAAUAAGCGGAGGAAAAGAAACCAACAGGGAUUGCCCCAGUAACGGCGAGUGAAGCGGCAACAGCUCAAAUUUGAAAUCUGGNCCCCAGGCCCGAGUUGUAAUUUGCAGAGGAUGCUUUUGGCGCGGUGCCUUCCGAGUUCCCUGGAACGGGACGCCAUAGAGGGUGAGAGCCCCGUACGGUUGGACACCAAGCCUUUGUAAAGCUCCUUCGACGAGUCGAGUAGUUUGGGAAUGCUGCUCAAAAUGGGAGGUAUAUUUCUUCUAAAGCUAAAUAUUGGCCAGAGACCGAUAGCGCACAAGUAGAGUGAUCGAAAGAUGAAAAGCACUUUGAAAAGAGGGUUAAACAGCACGUGAAAUUGUUAAAAGGGAAGCGCUUGUGACCAGACUUGCGCCCGGUGAAUCACCCAGCCCUCGCGGCUGGGGCACUUCGCCGGCACAGGCCAGCAUCAGCUCGCCGUCGGGGACAAAAGCUUCGGGAACGUAGCUCCUUUCGGGGAGUGUUAUAGCCCGUUGCAUAAUACCUUCGGCGGGCUGAGGUACGCCGUCCGCAAGGAUGCUGGCGUAAUGGUCAUCAGCGACCCGUCUUGAAACACGGACCAAGGAGUCAACCUUAUGUGCGAGUGUUUGGGUGUCAAACCCCUACGCGUAAUGAAAGU
rnacentral:rRNA from 1 species